rnacentral:rRNA from 1 species
CACGUAGUUAGCCGGGGCUUCUUAGUCAGGUACCGUCAUUUUCUUCCCUGCUGAUAGAGCUUUACAUACCGAAAUACUUCAUCGCUCACGCGGCGUCGCUGCACCAGGGUUUCCCCCAUUGUGCAAUAUUCCCCACUGCUGCCUCCCGUAGGAGUCUGGGCCGUGUCUCAGUCCCAAUGUGGCCGUCCACCCUCUCAGGCCGGCUACUGAUCGUCGGCUUGGUGGGCCGUUACCCCACCAACUACCUAAUCAGACGCGGGUCCAUCUUACACCACCUCAGUUUUUACCACCAUACCAUGCGGUACCGUGGUCUUAUGCGGUAUUAGCAGUCAUUUCUAACUGUUAUCCCCCUGUGUAAGGCAGGUUACCCACGCGUUACUCCACCCGUCCGCCGCUCAGUCAACAAAAACUCUUACAUCCGAAGAAUCCUAAUUUAAGCGCUUCGCUCGACUGCAUGUGUUAGGCACGCCGCCA